rnacentral:lncRNA from 1 species
AUGCUUGCCCAUGCCUCUGGUUUGAAAAGUGCCUCAUUUAGUCCUCUAACUUCUAUAGAGUUGUCUGAAGACUUUUCUUCCAUCAGCUGCCAACAGCUCCAGGGAGCCACAGCACAGAAAGGGACAGGAGAGUCACGGCAGGCUCUCAGCCAUGCAAGCAGUUUGUAUGCGUCACACCCAUCUCUUCAGAAAUUCAAUUCCAGAGAAGGGGAAACCUGAGAAGAGGAGGACAACAGCAUGAGGAAAAGAGGCUGAUUGUAGGCCUGCCUUCAAUGCACACAACAAACCUCCAAGAAAUCAGUCACUGGCAGACCAGGGAUGGAGAUAUUUCACAAACAAGAAAAAAACUCAAGAGUGCUCAAUCCUCAUCCAAAAGGCCAGGUAGGUUUAUUUACAGCUGUGUCAAGCUGUCGAAGUUCAUUUUGCCAAUGAAAGCCAUCUCUUCUAUUAAGUGCUAGAAGCUUCAUUUUAAAUAGUGAGACCUUUGGAAAAUCACAGAAUCAUAGAACGGCAUGGGUUGAAAAGGACCUUAAAGAUCAUCUAGUUUCAACCCCCCUGAUCUGGGCAGGGUUGCCAACCACUAGAGCAGGCUGCCCAGAGUUGCAUCAAGCCUGGCCUUGAAUGUCUCUAGGGAUGCAGCACCCACAACCUUCCUGGGCAACCCGUUCCAGUGCCUCACCACCCUCUGAGUGAAAAACUUUCUCCUAAUUUCCAACCUAAAUCUCCCUUGUCUUAGUUUAAAACCAUUCCCCCUUGUCCUAUCACUACCAACAUAUGUAAACAGGCAUUCCCCCUCCUGUUUAUACGCUCCCUUCAAGUACUGGAAGGCCGCAAUCUUCUGGAGCCUUCUCUUCUCCAAGCUAAACAAUCCCAGUUCCCUCAGCCUUUCUGCAUAGGAGAGGUGCUCCAGCCCUCUGAUCAUCUUAGUGGUCCUCCUCUGGACCCAUUCUAAGAGCUCCACAUCCUUCUUGUGCUGGGGGCCCCAGGCCUGCACACUGUAUUCCAGGUGGGGUCUCACAAGAGCAGAGUAGAGGGGGACAAUCACCUCCCUCUCCCUGCUGGCCACCCCUUUUUUAAUGCAGCCCAGGACAUAGU